GGGAGGCGAUCAGAGGGAAACACUGUCAGUGAUGGGAAAUGAACACGAUGCUGGCUGUAGGGAGCUGUAAUUACAGAGGACUGACACACUGUGAGCUGUUUAUGGUAAUGAAGCGGUGCAUCAAAUCAAAUUAACCUUAGUUAUUUAGCACAGAACGCACCGAGGACUUCUCUCAGUCGAUGCCAAACCCAAACCCAGAGCGGUUGCCCUUUGGACCGACAGAGUCAGAAAUUUGCUGGGGAUGAAGGUGGAGGCAGUGGCUCUCAUUUAGGAUGUGUGCAUGGCUGUGUGCAGGGUCCUGGGCGAUGCAGGGCUGGGCAGGUUGCAGUGCCCUGCGCCCUGUGGGCAUCCCCGUGUCCCCAUGUCACCAUGCACUGGGCAGAGCCGGAGCAGGUCAGCUGGAGGAACACUCACAUCGAGAUCCCUCCCCCUGACAGGUCCAAGAAGAGUCACCACCCUUUAAGUGCCACGAAGAGGCCUUCCACUCUCCGGUGCAAGAAUUCAAACAGAAUCAGGCACUGAACCUGGAGCGAAGUCAAGCACGGAGCCUCCUCCCAGCUCAUCCAGCAACACGUUCACAAAAGGCCCUGUUAUUAUCCCCACAUCCACACUCUCUAACCCUGUAAUUAGAUGCUUAGGCUAUGAUUGCCCCAUUGUCCGCUGGAUGGGUUUAAUCAUUCUUUCCUCCUACAGUGGCAAUUUUGUCCCAAUUAAUUAUUUCAGUUUGAACAGCAAUAGCUGGUUGAGUUUAGAGAGAAAUUAAAAGGGUAGAGCAGAAUAAUGAAGAGCGAACUAACAAGGGAAGGGCUGCAGACAAGGCUGCUGCUCCACGCUUUCCACCGAGGGCCGGAGCACCUCCUUGCCUGCACAUGGCAGCAGGGCUGUGUGUUCAUCCUCAGGUCCAGCAGAAGGUGCUGCUGCAGCCGUGGUGGCAGUGACAGCAGUGGUGGCUCCAAGGUGAGUGGCAGUGCAGGCAGAGCAAAGAGAUGAGGGCAAUGCCACAAAUUAGGGUCAGCCUAUGGCUAUCGGUGGCAGAUCCCUGAGGGGACAGUUCUACCGAGGCUGUGCUCCCUGCCCUCCUAUCCUGUGCCCAAACCACCCAUUCACUCUUGGCCUCACACAGUGGCAGAGCCCUGCACUCCCCAGCACUGCAGCAUGUGUUUUGGUGGUUCUCAGUGGGAUAGGUGCUUCCGUUCUCUGGGUGAUUUGGGAUUCAAUUGAAUUGGGUUAAAAAAUAUAUAUAUAUACAAAUGUUAAGGUUAUACAAGGUUUUGAGGGGAGAGGGGGAAAAGAUUCAUGCCUUUCAGGAGUUACAAAAAUGCUGCCUGUGCAAUUCAUGUAUAAUUCAGUGAAUUCCAGAGUAGUUUGAAUAUUUAAAUUAUGUAUGAUCAAAGCAAUAAAGAAAUCUGCUUUUCCUCACUCCGAGGAAAACUCCCAGACGCAAUGCUCCCAAGCGGCCCCUCCCCAAAAUGCAGCUUCUCGGCUCCAUUGUGCCUCAUUGCUGCAAACAAAUCGAGUUUGUCUGGAAAAAUGCAGUGCUGAGUGCAGCCACUGUACCCCAGCAGCUGUGCAGAGGUGGGCAGGUGGGGGCAGCCCCACAGCAUCCCGACCCCACCUCAUCUCUGUGUGUGACUCCCAGGUGCAGGGGAGGUUCCCCAACAAACUGAAUGGGGAAAAAAGCAAAAGGGGGGGGAAAAUGGACUGAAUGCUGCCUCUGCCCUUCCCUCUGGCUGCUGUCCAGAUGCUGUAAAUUUUCAUUGGUAAUCUGUAAUUUAAUGAUCUAUUCCCAAGAGAAAAUUAGUCAAUUUACAAAAACAAAAACAAAAACAAAA